rnacentral:rRNA from 1 species
GGGUUGUGAGGUUAAGCGACUAAGCGUACACGGUGGAUGCCCUGGCAGUCAGAGGCGAUGAAGGGCGUGCUAAUCUGCGAUAAGCGCCGGUAAGGUGAUAUGAACCGUUAUAACCGGCGAUACCCGAAUGGGGAAACCCAGUGUGACUCGUCACACUAUCAUUAACUGAAUCCAUAGGUUAAUGAGGCGAACCGGGGGAACUGAAACAUCUAAGUACCCCGAGGAAAAGAAAUCAACCGAGAUUCCCCCAGUAGCGGCGAGCGAACGGGGAGGAGCCCAGAGCCUGAAUCAGCAUGUGUGUUAGUGGAAGCGUCUGGAAAGGCGCGCGAUACAGGGUGACAGCCCCGUACACAAAAGCGCAUGUGCUGUGAGCUCGAUGAGUAGGGCGGGACACGUGGUAUCCUGUCUGAAUAUGGGGGGAUCAUCCUCCAAGGCUAAAUACUCCUGACUGACCGAUAGUGAACCAGUACCGUGAGGGAAAGGCGAAAAGAACCCCGGCGAGGGGAGUGAAAAAGAACCUGAAACCGUGUACGUACAAGCAGUGGGAGCCCCACCACUAAGCCAGUGGUGAACUCCACAUACGCAUCCUUUGCUGAGGAUACGGUUAACGGAGCGAAAGCGACGUUCAACCGCAAAAGAAGCAGAGGGGGCUUAGUGGUGG